rnacentral:rRNA from 1 species
UACGUAGGCAGCAAGCGUUGUUCGGAGUUACUGGGCGUAAAGGGUGCGUAGGUGGUCGUUUAAGUCCGUUGUGAAAUCCCUGGGCUCAACCUGGGAAUGGCAGUGGAUACUGGACGGCUAGAAUGCGGUAGAGGGUAGUGGAAUUCCCGGUGUAGCAGUGAAAUGCGUAGAGAUCGGGAGGAACACCAGUGGCGAAGGCGGCUACCUGGACCAGCAUUGACACUCAAGCACGAAAGCGUGGGGAGCAAACAGG